GCAAGUCGAGCGGAUGAAGGGAGCUUGCUCCUGGAUUCAGCGGCGGACGGGUGAGUAAUGCCUAGGAAUCUGCCUGGUAGUGGGGGACAACGUUUCGAAAGGAACGCUAAUACCGCAUACGUCCUACGGGAGAAAGCAGGGGACCUUCGGGCCUUGCGCUAUCAGAUGAGCCUAGGUCGGAUUAGCUAGUUGGUGAGGUAAUGGCUCACCAAGGCGACGAUCCGUAACUGGUCUGAGAGGAUGAUCAGUCACACUGGAACUGAGACACGGUCCAGACUCCUACGGGAGGCAGCAGUGGGGAAUAUUGGACAAUGGGCGAAAGCCUGAUCCAGCCAUGCCGCGUGUGUGAAGAAGGUCUUCGGAUUGUAAAGCACUUUAAGUUGGGAGGAAGGGUUGUAGAUUAAUACUCUGCAAUUUUGACGUUACCGACAGAAUAAGCACCGGCUAACUCUGUGCCAGCAGCCGCGGUAAUACAGAGGGUGCAAGCGUUAAUCGGAAUUACUGGGCGUAAAGCGCGCGUAGGUGGUUCGUUAAGUUGGAUGUGAAAUCCCCGGGCUCAACCUGGGAACUGCAUCCAAAACUGGCGAGCUAGAGUAUGGUAGAGGGUGGUGGAAUUUCCUGUGUAGCGGUGAAAUGCGUAGAUAUAGGAAGGAACACCAGUGGCGAAGGCGACCA
rnacentral:rRNA from 1 species